rnacentral:lncRNA from 1 species
AGCACAUUCACCUGACAAGGAGCUGGCCGCAGCCUCCGCUGCCAAACGGUGACGGUGCUGGCUGGUGCCCCCAGGAGCUGUUCACCACCUCCCGGGCUAAUGGCGCUUGCUGCCUGGCACACAGCAGGUGACUACACUGCAUGGCUUAUAAAUGUGGCCUCUGCCAGGAAAUCCUGGGAAAGAGCCAGGGAGGUGACGUUUUAUCCACGAGCCUGCUAUGGCUUAGCCUAGCCCUCCCCUAACUGUGACCAAGCUCUGGAUGAGACACAGACAACUACUGAGGACCUGCAAAGUAAGGAGACUGCAGGGCGGAGGCGGAACUUGGAGGAGUGACCUGCCGUGGAGUUUCUGGUUUCCUCCUUGUGGCUUUGUCUGGAGGGCAAGCCCCACUCUCAGAUCCACAUGGCAACACAAGCAGCUAAAACGCAGAUAGAAACCCCAACCUGGGAAAAGGAGUCCUACAGAAUGGAGACAAAGGAAAGCCAGCGAACGUGAAGACAGAUAAAUAGAAAAUAUCCACUCCGAAGAACGAAGAUAAAGAGGAAAAACAAGAACAAGCAUCACGGGCCAGCUGGGGUCGUAUCGAAAGGCCCAGCACAUACCUGGUUCCAGAAAGCAAGGAGGAGGUUGGGGCAGAAAGUUAUUUGAAGGAAUAUUGGCUGAAACAUCCCAAGUCUGGUGAAAUACAUAAAUGUAAGCAUUCAAGAAGCUCAGUGAACCCCAAAGAAGAUAAACAGAAAGGAAAAUAGACCCAGACAUAGCAUCAUCAAAUUGCUGAAAACUGAAGAAAACAUCUGGAAAGCAGCUAGAGAAAAACAACACAUUUCGUACACAAAAGCAGUGACUCCAGUGACUACAGAAUUCUUGCCAGAAACCACGGCAGCCAGGAGACAGCAGAACGAUGUCUUUAAUGCAUGAAAGGAAAGGUUUCUCCUUGCAAGGUGUUUGUUCAUUUCUUCCAAGUUGUGGAAUAUAUGGGCAGAAGAUUGGACACCAUCCCCCUCGACUCUUUUUUCCCAUCUGUAGGGUCUGCGGUGAUGUCCUUUUUAGCCUCCAUGUUUGUAAUGAGGGUCUCUUUGUUUUGGGGUCAGUCUGGCCAGCAGCUUAUCAAUUGUAUUGAUCUUUUCAAAGAAUCAGCUUGGGUUUCAUUUAUUUUCUCUAUUUUCUGUUUUUGUUUUUUGUUCAGCUGAUUUCCACCCUGAUCUUUAUUACCUUCUACUUUCCGCAUGCGUUUUGUAAUUUAUUUUUCCCUUACUAGUUUCUCCAGGUGAAAGCUCCUAUCAUAGUUGGCAAGGGUUUUCUGUAAAGGGCUAGAGAGUAAAUAUGUUUGGUUUUGUGAGCCACGUGGUGUCUGUUGCAACCACUCAACUGCUGUUGUAGCGUGAAAGCAGCAACAGAAAACACAUAAAAUACCAAGUUGUUCUCCAGCAUAACUUUAUUUUCAACAGCAAGAAGGGGCCAGACAUGGCCGGUGGGCUGUAGCUUGCUGGCUCUUGGCUUAGAGUGAUUUGUGAUCUCUUCCUUUUUUAUCGUUUCAGCAAUUACUGCUGUAAAAUCUAUCCUAAACACCAGUCAAUCUGCAUCCCACAAAUGUUGAUAUGUUGUUUUAAUUUCCAUUGAAUUCAAAAUAGUGUCUAAUUACCUCUGCAUUAACCCUGUGCUUCUGCGCUUUGACAUCUGGGGUGACCCAGGAGGGGCUCCCCCUCCAAGGGCUUCCCAGCAAGAUCACCCUUCAUAAGCAAAUCAAGGAUUCCAGAGCCCACACCCCAACCGCUCCCCAACUGGGCCACACUCUGGGCCAACGUCCCCCUGCCCUAAUCACCCCAGGGCCAGGAGCUACACCCAGACCAGCUGGCAUUAAUGCAACCAGCCAGUUCUCCACCUGUCCACCCCCUGGCCUGGUCCUUCCCACACCACGUUCCUCGCACCCUCUGCCUCCUGGCCUACCUGGUGCUUGCCCUGUGCCCCUUCACCGUGGUGAUGCGGCCAGCUCUGUCCUCUUGGGACCCGUGACAAAUCAUCUUUUUGAUGGUGGUUGUCUCCUGACCUGUGGGCCUCACCCUACCUGAAUAACAAUGAAAGUUACAUUUUAAAAAUACCAGGUCACCUCCUCUGUUGAUAUGUUGUUUUAAUUAACAACUUCUAAACAACUCAUGAGUUCUUUUGGUUUUUUUGAGAUGGAGUCUUGCUCUGUCAGCCUGGCUGGAGUGCAGUGGCACAAUCUCGGCUCACUGCAACCUCUGCCUCCUGGGUUCAAAUGAUUCUUGUGCCUCAGCCUCCCGAGUAGCUGGGAUUACAGGUGUGGGCCACCAUGACCAGCUAAUUUUUGUAUUUUUAGUAGAGACGGGAUUUCACCAUGUUGGUCAGGCUGGUCUCAAACUCCUAACCUCAAGUGAUCUGCCUGCCUCAGCCUCCCAAAGUGCUGGGAUUACAGGCGUGAGCCACGACGCCGGUCGCUCACGAGUUAUUUAGAAUUGAGUUGCUUAAUGUUUCAGGAUGUUCUGUAUUGGGUUCUCCUUUCAUUCUAAUUCUGGGAUAGUCAAGGAACACAAGUCUCAACAAAUCUUGAGAUUAUUCUUACUUUGUUCUCUGCACGACUUGAGUCUUUUAAGAUCUACUGAGACUUGUGCUGGGACCCAGCGCGGUCGGCCUUGGUCACUGCUCUGCGUGCCCUGGAGAAGCAUGCACCGCUGCUGGGGUGCAGUGUCUGGCACGUGCCAUGGUCCAGCUGGCCCCCGAUGUUCUGUGGGGGCAUUGCUCCCCAGCGUGUCCGGACAGGUUCUUGCUGAGCACCGGAACCCUGAACAUCCAGGGAAUGAGGCGUCAGACACAGUGGGGGAGCUCCAGCCAGCGAGCGCCUGCUCCCGCUCCGGGAAGCGCUCCUGGUCCAUGGCAUCACCGUCCUCAGGCGCAGUCAGGCCUGGGGAUGUUUCCUGCCACCGGAAGUGCCCUGAAGGUGUCCUGGUGGCCGCCGUGUGAAGGGAUGAUGUGACUGUGCACCACAGUCCCCAUUUCAGGAGCACGAUUCACCCCGGGACGCGGUCCUGAGACCGUCCCACUCUUUAGGGGCUGUGGGGGAUGGAGGAGGGGCUCAUGAGAGUCACCCAGACCCACAGUUCACCCUGCAUUUUCCCAGUGGUCCUGGGCAGGCCACACUCUCGGCCUCCAAGAACUCGCACCCCUCCCAUGACAGAGGAGCCUGGGAUCAGGGAGAGGGGAUCGUGUGCUCGGGGGCACCAGCCCCAUGAGAGGACCUGUGUGGGAGGUGUGUGGUCCUGGCACAGGGCCUGGAACUGCCAGGGCAAGGGAGGGGAAGGACACCCAGCACUACUCUGAUGUGCAAACCCUAGAGCUGCCUCGUGGCCACCCCGGGAGGAGAAGGAGGGAGUGUGCAGGGCUGGAAGGGCUGACAGCGCUUUAGACACCGUAACUCCACAUUUGUGUUUUUCAUGCUUGGAGCUUCUGUAGGAAGAUGGAGGUUGGCCAAAGUUUCAGUGACUAAAAGUGUGAAAUUCAUUUAAGUCCAUCAAACUCAAACUUGUGCAGGCACCAGGCAGUCACCCUUGAUGAAGGCAGCUGGCCAGGCAUAAGGGACACAAUCCGCAGAGCCAACGAGACCAGAAAUGAUGCUGGACCACAGAGCGCGUGGACAGUGAGGAGCGGUGAGGCCUGUGCAGAGGGCAGUAGCCAAGCCCAACACAGCUGAGUGCAGCCACGCACAGCCCAGCCACGCCACACCACGCCCAGUCACAUCCAGCCCAACACAGCUGAGUGCAGCCAUGCCCAGUCCAGCCACGCCACACCACACCCAGCCACACCCAGCCCAACAUAGCCAUGACCAACCACACCCAACCCAGCCCAGCCUAGCCACGCCCAGCCCAGCUCAGCCGUGUCCAGCCCAGCCACGCCCAACCCAACACAGCCACGCCCAGCCCUUGGAAGCCACACCCCACUCCCCACACCACACCUGAAUACAGGCCUAGUGUUACCAGAACUUCUAAUUUUCCAACAGAAAUGUGCAAUUGGGGUCAUUAUGUUCAGUUUCCCAGUUUUGAAUAUAGUUUCAACUAUCUUGACCAGCUCUACUGAGGAUUAUUUGACACAAUCAACUGCACAUGUAAAAGUGAUGAUUUGGAAAGCUUCGACCUAUGUGCACACCCACGAAACCCUUCCCAUGGUCCACGGUGAACCUCGUCACCCACAGCAUGUCCUCCUGCCUGUGUCCUCCCACCCCUGUCCCCAGGAACCACCGAUGUCACUACAGACAACUGCAUUUUGCAGAAUUCCAUAUGAACGAAGUCACAUGUAUACACGCCUUCUUUCACGCAGCAUAAUUAUUUUCACGUUUGAUUUUGUCAUGUGUUUCAAAAUUCCACUCCUUUUUAUUUCUGCGUUGUAUGGAUGCACCAUGAUUUGUUCAUCCAAUCACUUGUUGGUAGACAUUUUGGUUUUUCCCCCAGGUUUUUGCUAUCACAAAUAAAACUGCUAUGGACAGUCAUGCAUAA